UGGGACCGAAAACAAAAGAAGGGUGUUGAAAUGCAAAUAGAUAACUCUGGGUCCCAGUCCCUGACUGCAAAAGGAAGCCAAAACUGACAACAACGUCUCCUUCUCUACGGAGGUUUGUAGAAAGGCUGUACAAAAAUCUCACAAGAUGUAUUUCUUCUCGUGGACUGGAGUCCCAAGGUGCUUAAGAGCUCUUCAAUUUGUUAAUGGAAAGAAACACCAUUUACACCGGAUGGCUACAAAGCAACCUUAUUCUGAUCUUUUCUCAGAAUAGCAGUCUGUAGGCUGUCACCUAAAGUGUCCUGUUUUCAGUGCUGCACCUGCUCUGAGCUUCAUCUUUUUACGAAGACGUCAUGGUGUGCUAUCUGUACUGGGAAACUUUCCCCAGCAUCAGCCAUCUCCUGAAGAUAACAUUGUCUGCUAGAGAUUGUCAUGUAUGUGGAUUGAAUCUCUUUAUCAGGGAGAUUUGAGACAGGAGAAGAGAAGACACGAAGGAGGGAAGGAAGUGAUGUGACCACAGAGGCAGCGAUUGGAGUGAUGUAGUCACAAGCCAAGGAGCACCAACAGCCACCAGGAGCUGGAAGAGCCCAAGAGUAUAUACUAAUACCUGGAUUUGGGACUUGGGACUUCUGGCAGAAGAGCACCACCUUCUUAUGCAUCUUCACCUCCUCUGCUGUUGAAAACUUGUGCUCCUUCUUAUCAUCAUGUCAUUGAACACCUUUUUUUUUC
rnacentral:lncRNA from 1 species